GUGAACGAGACGGACCAGGACCGCGUCCCUCUUGUAACGGGCGACGGCAGCCGAGAUCCGCGGCGGCGGCGGCGCCCAGCCUCAGCCUCGCUGCCGCGGAGAGCCGGGGCAGAGAGGGGUCGGGGAUGUUAGGAAUGCGGGCGAGCACCGCGGUAGCAUCUCUAUCGCGGAUGGGCACGGAGCCACGGACGCGCACCUCUACGGCGACCCGAACGACGCCGCCAUCCCGACGCUCCUCCGCUCCCGCUUCCACGGCGACAAGUUCGACGCGCUCAACCACCUCCUCGCCCUCAUCUCUCAGGGCGUCGACGUCGCCCACCUCUCCCCGCAGGCAGUCAAGAACGUGGUGGCGCAGUCGCUUGAGCUGAAGAAGCUCGUCUCUUCUACGGCUCUACCUGCUCCACUACGCCGGGAGGUGCUACUGCCAAGGCUGGAUUUGAUUGCAGAAUCCUACACUAGGAGCAGCGUCUGGCCACAACAGUUGUGGACCGGGAAUGCAAGCCGGAUCACCUCCAUGUGGGCUGCUAUUGCAAGUAAACUUUUUUUGGAAGAUUCAAGGACGUUUGACGAGUGACCAAAAGCAUUGAAGACUUUGCAGAGCGAGGCAAGC